rnacentral:rRNA from 1 species
CACUUCUACGGGAGGCAGCAGUGGGGAAUUUUGGACAAUGGGCGAAAGCCUGAUCCAGCAAUGCCGCGUGUGUGAAGAAGGCCUUCGGGUUGUAAAGCACUUUUGUCCGGAAAGAAAUCCUUGGCUCUAAUACAGUCGGGGGAUGACGGUACCGGAAGAAUAAGCACCGGCUAACUACGUGCCAGCAGCCGCGGUAAUACGUAGGGUGCGAGCGUUAAUCGGAAUUACUGGGCGUAAAGCGUGCGCAGGCGGUUUGCUAAGACCGAUGUGAAAUCCCCGGGCUCAACCUGGGAACUGCAUUGGUGACUGGCAGGCUAGAGUAUGGCAGAGGGGGGUAGAAUUCCACGUGUAGCAGUGAAAUGCGUAGAGAUGUGGAGGAAUACCGAUGGCGAAGGCAGCCCCCUGGGCCAAUACUGACGCUCAUGCACGAAAGCGUGGGGAGCAAACAGGAUUAGAAACCCUUGUAGUCCCAUGA